rnacentral:rRNA from 1 species
GGCACUUUUUAAUGGUUGACCUCGGAUCAGGUAGGAAUACCCGCUGAACUUAA